rnacentral:misc_RNA from 1 species
CUAUGCUCGGAGGUAUUCGAAUCUCCUGGUAGGAUUUUGUUGCUUGUGCCUCGUACCUCAGUGUCGGCAUCAGCAUUGUCCCAAAGAACGGCCAGUUGUCCCAGUUUUCGUGUCUCGGUGCUCAUGUGUCCCUGUCACGGGGCUGGCUUGGAAACAUCGAUAGCGCUCGCUCAUCGACAACUAACGUUGUCGCGGGCGUGGCGUGAUCGAUGUUCGAUCUCUCGUGCGCGGAAUGCCCAUCGGCGCGGUGGUUCACCGAACCCCGCUAAAUAGACCCUCGAUGAAAAGUCGUCCGAUUCAAUCUUGAGCGACCAUCGUACCUGCGAAUGUGUUUGCCGCCGAGAAGGCGCAGCGCAUGCAGUGCCGAUGUCGUACGGGAACGCUACCUGGUUGAUCCUGCCAGUAGUCAUAUGCUUGUCUCAAAGAUUAAGCCA